rnacentral:rRNA from 1 species
UUCGGGAAACCGGAGCUAAUACCGGAUAAUAUUUUGAACCGCAUGGUUCAAAAGUGAAAGACGGUCUUGCUGUCACUUAUAGAUGGAUCCGCGCUGCAUUGGCUAGUUGGUAAGGUAACGGCUUACCAAGGCAACGAUGCAUAGCCGACCUGAGAGGGUGAUCGGCCACACUGGAACUGAGACACGGUCCAG